CGUAGGGUGCGAGCGUUAAUCGGAAUUACUGGGCGUAAAGCGUGCGCAGGCGGUUUUGUAAGACAGCUGUGAAAUCCCCGGGCUUAACCUGGGAACCGCGGUUGUGACUGCAAGACUGGAGUGUGGCAGAGGGGGUGGAAUUCCACGUGUAGCAGUGAAAUGCGUAGAGAUGUGGAGGAACACCGAUGGCGAAGGCAGCCCCCUGGGUCAACACUGACGCUCAUGCACGAAAGCGUGGGGAGCAAACAGGAUUAGAUACCCUGGUAGUCCACGCCCUAAACGAUGCCAACUAGGUGUUGGGGAAGGAGACUUCCUUAGUGCCGUAGCUAACGCGUGAAGUUGGCCGCCUGGGGAGUACGGUCGCAAGAUUAA
rnacentral:rRNA from 1 species